rnacentral:snRNA from 1 species
AUUUUCUUUAUGUUUUAGGUAUAC